GUAUUUCGGUUCUAAAUUUUAGCUAGUAGAGAAUCAUCUCAUAAAUUCACCACUCUCACCUUCCUUUGUUUAUGUCCAUUUAUUUUUCCAACAUUAUCAAUAGUUGUACUUCUCUUCUAUUUGGAAAUUAAACCAUGCAAAGUUAUUCAAGCCAACCCUCUCGUUGAUGAAAUCCAUGUCGAAUGAACAACACUGCAACAAUUAUUCAUAUCCAAAGAAUCGUAUGCAUUUUCUCAUCAAACUCCGCAAAAACAUGGAUUGACCUCUUUACCUCAAGCAAUGAUUAUGAAGCCGGCAUGGAUGGUUAUAGUCAAAGGAAGGGGAUUGUGGUGAACUUGUGAUAUGAUUCUCUAGUAGAUGUUUAGGG
rnacentral:lncRNA from 1 species